UACGUAGGGUGCAAGCGUUAAUCGGAAUUACUGGGCGUAAAGCGUGCGCAGGCGGUUAUGUAAGACAGGUGUGAAAUCCCCGGGCUUAACCUGGGAACUGCAUUUGUGACUGCAUAGCUAGAGUACGGUAGAGGGGGAUGGAAUUCCGCGUGUAGCAGUGAAAUGCGUAGAUAUCGUAAGGAAGACCAGUGGCGAAGGCGAAUCUCUGGACAGUUACUGACACUGAGGCACGAAGGCCAGGGGAGCAAACGGG
rnacentral:rRNA from 1 species